AAAAUACUCCAUCCGUCCGUUAAUACUUGUCCUAAAAAUGGAUAAAUCUAAACUUAUUUUAGUUAUAGAUACAUCCAAUAUCUAGGUUCAUCCAUUUUUAGAACAAGUAUUUCCGGACGGAGGGAGUAAGAG
rnacentral:pre_miRNA from 1 species